GUACAUUAGUGCUUGCGCACGACAAUAUAUUUCAUUACAUUCGAGUUUGUGUAAAAUUCCUCUGCCGGCCGAAGCUAGCAAGAGGCCAAAGGUUCACAGGGGUAUUGGAUGAAAGCCACCAACGUGCACUUGCUCGCGAGAGCCAGCACCGAAGGUAACCAUUCGCAAUCAUUAAUGAUCCUUCCGCAGGUUCACCUACGGAAA
rnacentral:misc_RNA from 1 species